rnacentral:rRNA from 1 species
ACGAAGGCUUCGGCCUUAGUGGCGCACGGGUGCGUAACGCGUGGGAAUCUGCCCUCAGGUUCGGAAUAACAGCGAGAAAUUGCUGCUAAUACCGGAUGAUAUCGCGAGAUCAAAGAUUUAUCGCCUGAGGAUGAGCCCGCGUAGGAUUAGCUAGUUGGUGUGGUAAAGGCGCACCAAGGCGACGAUCCUUAGCUGGUCUGAGAGGAUGAUCAGCCACACUGGGACUGAGACACGGCCCAGACUCCUACGGGAGGCAGCAGUGGGGAAUAUUGGACAAUGGGCGAAAGCCUGAUCCAGCAAUGCCGCGUGAGUGAUGAAGGCCUUAGGGUUGUAAAGCUCUUUUACCCGGGAUGAUAAUGACAGUACCGGGAGAAUAAGCUCCGGCUAACUCCGUGCCAGCAGCCGCGGUAAUACGGAGGGAGCUAGCGUUAUUCGGAAUUACUGGGCGUAAAGCGCACGUAGGCGGCUUUGUAAGUUAGAGGUGAAAGCCUGGAGCUCAACUCCAG